rnacentral:rRNA from 1 species
UACGAAGGGGGCUAGCGUUGCUCGGAAUCACUGGGCGUAAAGCGCACGUAGGCGGAUUGUUAAGUCAGGGGGGAAAUCCUGGAGCUCAACUCCAGAACUGCCUUUGAUACUGGCGAUCUUGAGUCCGGGAGAGGUGAGUGGAACUGCGAGUGUAGAGGUGAAAUUCGUAGAUAUUCGCAAGAACCCCAGUGGCGAAGGCGGCUCACUGGCCCGGUACUGACGCUGAGGUGCGAAAGCGUGGGGAGCAAACAGG